AUGCUGACGAGUGGCGAACGGGUGAGUAAUACAUCGGAACGUGCCCGAUCGUGGGGGAUAACGAGGCGAAAGCUUUGCUAAUACCGCAUACGAUCUACGGAUGAAAGCGGGGGAUCUUCGGACCUCGCGCGGACGGAGCGGCCGAUGGCAGAUUAGGUAGUUGGCGGGAUAAAAGCUUACCAAGCCGACGAUCUGUAGCUGGUCUGAGAGGAUGAUCAGCCACACUGGGACUGAGACACGGCCCAGACUCCUACGGGAGGCAGCAGUGGGGAAUUUUGGACAAUGGGCGAAAGCCUGAUCCAGCCAUGCCGCGUGCAGGAUGAAGGCCUUCGGGUUGUAAACUGCUUUUGUACGGAACGAAAAGCCUCUUUCUAAUAAAGAGGGGUCAUGACGGUACCGUAAGAAUAAGCACCGGCUAACUACGUGCCAGCAGCCGCGGUAAUACGUAGGGUGCAAGCGUUAAUCGGAAUUACUGGGCGUAAAGCGUGCGCAGGCGGUUUUGUAAGACAGAGGUGAAAUCCCCGGGCUCAACCUGGGAACUGCCUUUGUGACUGCAAGGCUGGAGUGCGGCAGAGGGGGAUGGAAUUCCGCGUGUAGCAGUGAAAUGCGUAGAUAUGCGGAGGAACACCGAUGGCGA
rnacentral:rRNA from 1 species